GUGAAACGUGCGUCUCCCCUCCAGACGCACGGCGCUCGCCAGUCCGCCGCUGCUCAGUCUGCGAUGUGGAGGUGUCCCGGUGCGUCGUCGUCCGGACACCGGACAAGUGAUGCUCUGAGCUGCACUGUUGCUCCGCUGCCGCCUCUCGUCUCUGCAGCAAACCGGGCUGGAAAUGGUCCGGCGUUCAGAGGUUAGACUCUCGCUCAAUAGAGGGUCACAGCCACAAGCACCUCAGCAGCCCUGCUCAAGCCUGGCAGGAGUCAUCUGCCCGCCUUCAUCCGUCUGAACAGCAGCGAGGGCUGACAGA